rnacentral:rRNA from 1 species
CCCUUAGAUGUUCUGGGCCGCACGCGCGCUACACUGAUGCAUUCAACGAGUUUCUUCCUGGUCCGAGAGGAAUGGGUAACCUUUUGAAAGUGCAUCGUGAUAGGGAUAGACUAUUGCAAUUAUUGGUCUUCAACGAGGAAUUCCUAGUAGACGUAGUUCAUCAGACUGCAUCGAUUACGUCCCUGCCCUUUGUACACACCGCCCGUCGCUCCUACCGAUUGAAUGCUCAGGUGAGCCAUUCGGACUUUCAUCAUGCUGGUUUCCAGUUUUGAUGAAGGAAAGUCUUGCGAACCUUAUCAUUUAGAGGAAGGAGAGGUCGUAACA